GGGCUCGUAGCUCAGUUGGGAGAGCGCAGCGUUCGCAACGCUGAGGCCGAGAGUUCGAAUCUCUUCGAGUCCA
rnacentral:tRNA from 1 species